UACGUAGGGUGCAAGCGUUAAUCGGAAUACUGGGCGUAAAGCGUGCGCAGGCGGUUGUGCAAGACAGAUGUGAAAUCCCCGGGCUUAACCUGGGAAUUGCAUUUGUGACUGCACGGCUAGAGUGUGUCAGAGGGGGGGUAGAAGUUCCACGUGUAGCAGUGAAAUGCGUAGAUAUGUGGAGGAAUACCGAUGGCGAAGGCAGCCCCCUGGGAUAACACUGACGCCUCCAUGCACGAAAGCGUGGGGGAGCAAACAGGG
rnacentral:rRNA from 1 species